rnacentral:rRNA from 1 species
AGUAACACGUGGGUAACCUGCCUGUAAGACUGGGAUAACUCCGGGAAACCGGGGCUAAUACCGGAUGCUUGUUUGAACCGCAUGGUUCAAACAUAAAAGGUGGCUUCGGCUACCACUUACAGAUGGACCCGCGGCGCAUUAGCUAGUUGGUGAGGUAAUGGCUCACCAAGGCGACGAUGCGUAGCCGACCUGAGAGGGUGAUCGGCCACACUGGGACUGAGACACGGCCCAGACUCCUACGGGAGGCAGCAGUAGGGAAUCUUCCGCAAUGGACGAAAGUCUGACGGAGCAACGCCGCGUGAGUGAUGAAGGUUUUCGGAUCGUAAAGCUCUGUUGUUAGGGAAGAACAAGUACCGUUCGAAUAGGGCGGUACCUUGACGGUACCUAACCAGAAAGCCACGGCUAACUACGUGCCAGCAGCCGCGGUAAUACGUAGGUGGCAAGCGUUGUCCGGAAUUAUUGGGCGUAAAGGGCUCGCAGGCGGUUUCUUAAGUCUGAUGUGAAAGCCCCCGGCUCAACCGGGGAGGGUCAUUGGAAACUGGGGAACUUGAGUGCAGAAGAGGAGAGUGGAAUUCCACGUGUAGCGGUGAAAUGCGUAGAGAUGUGGAGGAACACCAGUGGCGAAGGCGACUCUCUGGUCUGUAACUGACGCUGAGGAGCGAAAGCGU